UACGUAGGGUGCGAGCGUUAAUCGGAAUUACUGGGCGUAAAGCGUGCGCAGGCGGUUAUGUAAGACAGGUGUGAAAUCUCCGGGCUUAACCCGGAGCGGUCAAGUGAUACUGUCGUGCUAGAGUGCGGAAGGGGCUACUGGAAUUCUCGGUGUAGCGGUGAAAUGCGUAGAUAUCGAGAGGAACACCUGCGGCGAAGGCGGGUAGCUGGGCCGACACUGACGCUGAUGCGCGAAAGCCAGGGGAGCGAACGGG
rnacentral:rRNA from 1 species